rnacentral:rRNA from 1 species
GACGAACGCUGGCGGCGUGCUUAACACAUGCAAGUCGAACGGAAAGGCCCUGCUUUUGUGGGGUGCUCGAGUGGCGAACGGGUGAGUAACACGUGAGUAACCUUCCCUUGACUUUGGGAUAACUUCAGGAAACUGGGGCUAAUACCGGAUAGGAGCUCCUGCUGCAUGGUGGGGGUUGGAAAGUUUCGGCGGUUGGGGAUGGACUCGCGGCUUAUGAGCUUGUUGGUGGGGUAGUGGCUUACCAAGGCUUUGACGGGUAGCCGGCCUGAGAGGGUGACCGGCCACAUUGGGACUGAGAGACGGCCCAGACUCCUACGGGAGGCAGCAGUGGGGAAUAUUGCACAAUGGGCGGAAGCCUGAUGAAGAAACGCCGCGUGCGGGAUGACGGCCUUCGGGUUGUAAACCGCUUUCGCCUGUGACGAAGCGUGAGUGACGGUAAUGGGUAAAGAAGCACCGGCUAACUACGUG